CUGAGAACGGAACACCCAUCGAUCUGGAAUAUUUAUGAUAAUAUCAGCGUUCAGCAAUGUAGUCCGUUAGGACAGGGGUUCCCAACCAGCCCAGAUACUACCCAUUUUGAUUAGAAUCUCGGAGCUACUGAGUUUGGAAGAUCCCUUAGCAUCUUCAGUAGAUUUUACAACUUGUUCGUAAAGCUGAAUGAUCUACAAAACUUCCAUUUUCUUGGCUGAUUUUUUUUAAAUUAAGUUUACAAAGUUUAAAUUGUAAUUGUAAUUGUAAUUGCUCAGUCCACACCCAGGCCGACAACUGUCAGCCCAUCUGCUUGUAGGCAGAUGUGGACCUACUAAGCCUCCCCCGUUAACAUGUCCUACACCGAAUUAGCACACCGGGAUCUUCCACAGGCAGGCGCUGGCGUUACCAGUCCCAACAAGUGUCAGAUACAUUAAAUAGAUGGGGUAGAGGAUAUAGGAAGAUGUGGGAAUAGGAUGGGAAGAGGCAGAAAAUGAAGAGAUAGUAGAGAGGUUUCGAUUUUGUUGCUGAAACGAGAAAAAGGAAGAAUGAUGAAGAACAUUAGCGAUAUGUUCAUAGAUUAUGAUUUGGUCGAUAAUUUCUCAUCUAUUUUGUUUCCAUAUCGUUGCAUCGGUGACAAUUUUCAUCUCCUUUCUAGUUUUUGUUAGGGCCAUCUCGCGUUUUUUCGUCAUGUCCUCUGUGCCGGUUGGCGACGUUCGGGAUUACUUCCAGCCCAUUUGUCCGCAGUACAUAUCAGGCAUCCCAUUUUAACAAGUCCUACACAGAAUUAGAAACCCGGAUCUCCCACAGACAGUCCUAACUAGUGUCAGAUAAGUUCAAUUGAGGAUAGGAAGCGGCAAAAUGAGAAGACAGUAGAGAAGGUUUGGUACAUUGGUAGCUGUGUUUAUGUGAUGUUUGUCUGACAUUGAAAAACUAUUAUCCGUAAGUGUUUAACUCUCUACCCCAAAUGUGAUACCGGAAAAAUAUCUGAUCAGAUGUAUAGUUUGGCAAUUCUAUGUACAUACAUCUUUUAUCAAGAAGGAAUAAUGUUGUUUACUGUUAUAAAAUAAUUCAGUUAAAGGGCAGCUAAUGCAUUGUAAUCCAGAAUAAACCUACAGAAAAUGUCCCAAUAAAAAGUUAACACUAGUUCAACUA